UACCUGGUUGAUCCUGCCAGUAGUAUAUGCUUGUCUCAAAGAUUAAGCCAUGCAUGCGUGAGUACAAGCCUUAACUAAGGCGAAACCGUGAAAGGCUCAUUAAAUCAGUCAUAAUUCUUUGGGCCCAGAACCAUAAUUUAUAAUGGUUAUUUGGAUAACUGUGGUAAUUCUAGAGCUAAUACAUGCCUCGAGUUCCGAUUCGUGUUAGAUUGGUUUCCUUUCGUCGCGAAGAGGACGCAAUUAUUAGAUUUAAACCCUUUCUCUUUGAAGGAGGGUUUUGAUGAAUCUGGAUAAUACAUAGUACCAAGCCGAGCGCUAAGACCUUUUGUGUCGGCGCCGUACCAUUCAAGAGUCUGCCCUAUCAUGCUUCGAUUGUAGGUUAAAUGCCUACAAUGGCUUUGACGGGUAACGGGGAAUCAGGGUUCGAUUCCGGAGAGGGAGCCUGAGAAACGGCUACCACAUCUAAGGAAGGCAGCAGGCACGCAACUUCCCCACUUGCGGAACGCAGAGGGAGUGACAAAAUCUAACGAUGCGAGUCUCUUCCGAGGCCUCGCAAUCGGAAUGACUCCUACCUUAAAUAAGUGGAGGAGGAUCUAUUGGAGGGCAAGUCUGGUGCCAGCAGCCGCGGUAAUUCCAGCUCCAAUAGCAUAUGUUAAUUUUGCUGCGGUUAAAAAGCUCGUAGUUGGACCUCAUUUUUGCUCAAAAAAAAAGAAAUUUUUUUUUUUAUAUUGAGCUUUUAUGAAAAUUGUCACCAAUUCGUCACUAAAUUCCAGUUGCCGCACUUUGUGCAGCAGCGGAUAGUUGGCGAUGGUGGCAGGAUCACUUUGAAAAAAUUAGAGUGCUUAAAGCAAGCUAUGCACUUUACGAUGCCUGUAUGGUCGUGCAUGGAAUGAUGAAAUACGACCUCUGCCCUUUAAUCGGGGUUUGAGGUAAUGAUUAAAGGAAACAGACGGGGGCGUUCGUAUUGCGACGCGAGCGGUGAAAUGCGUUGACCGUCGCAGGACGACCUACUGCGAAAGCAUUCGCCAAGAAUGUUUUCAUUAAUCAAGAACGAAAGUUAGAGGAUCGAAGGCGAUCAGAUACCGCCCUAGUUCUAACCGUAAACUAUGCAAACCGGUCAUACGUCGGAGUUAUUCCCACGACUCGACGUGCUACCCACGGGAAACCAGAGUGAUGCUCCGGGGGAAGUAUGGUUGCAAAGCUGAAACUUAAAGGAAUUGACGGAAGGGCACCACCAGGAGUGGCGUGCGGCUUAAUUUGACUCAACACGGGAAAUCUCACCAGGCCCGGACACCGAAAGGAUUGACAGAUUAAUAAGCUCUUUCUCGAUACGGUGGGUAGUGGUGCAUGGCCGUUCUUAGUUGGUGGAGCGAUCUGUCUGGUUAAUUCCGAUAACGAACGAGACUCUAGUCUACUAACUAGUCGUCGAACUAUCACCCGAGGCUUCAUUAUGGCGUUGUGACGUGACUUCAUGUUGCUGCCGUCGCUAGUUUGUGUGUGAUAAGGUUAACGCCUAGUCCGCAUUUGCUAUGUGGCGCGAGUGGCGCGUGUUGUUACCAACUUCGUCUAUAUAGCCAACAUGUCGGGUACUUCGACGCAUAAUCUUCUUAGAGAGAUAAACGACGUCUAGUCGUGUGAGAAAGAGCAAUAACAGGUCUGUGAUGCCCUUAGAUGUCCUGGGCUGCACGCGCGCUACAAUGGAUGGUGUAAUGUGUAUCUGCUCCGACAGGAGCGGGUAAUCAUAUCAAACCCAUUCUCGCUCGGGAUUGGGGCUUGCAAAUAUUUCCCAUGAACGAGGAAUUCCCAGUAAUCGCGGAUCAUUAAUCCGUGAUGAUUACGUCCCUGCCCUUUGUACACACCGCCCGUCGCUACUACCGAUUGAAUGAUUCAGUGAGGACGUUGGACUGUCGCUCUUUGUCUCUCGUAGACUAUUUUGAGCCGACGGGAAGAUGCCCAAACUUGAUCAUUUAGAGGAAGUAAAAGUCGUAACAAGGUUUCCGUAGG
rnacentral:rRNA from 1 species